rnacentral:rRNA from 1 species
GACGUAGGGCGCGAGCGUUGUCCGGAUUUAUUGGGCGUAAAGAGCUCGUAGGCGGCUCAUCGCGUCUGCCGUGAAAACCUGUGGCUCAACUACAGGCUUGCGGUUGAUACGGGUGGGCUGGAGUUCGGUAGGGGAGACUGGAAUUCCCGGUGUAGCGGUGAAAUGCGCAGAUAUCGGGAGGAACACCGGUGGCGAAGGCGGUUCUCUGGGCCUUACCUGACGCUGAGGAGCGAAAGCGUGGGGAGCGAACAGG